GACCCCCAGGUCGAGUAGCUGCCUCCACCACUCGAUUACAUGGUCGAGUCCCACAAUCAUCAUUCACUCGGCCAAUCACUCUACCACCAAGUCGAGUUCCACCAUCAUCCACCACUCGACAUCCUACUCGACUGCCAGCUUCAGAGUCUUCUCAAAUCUGCACUCAACAAGACACUCGAGCAUAAGGAAGAGAAGAAGACUCCAGCUAAUCACUCGACCAAUCACUCAACCACCUGGGUCGAGUACCGUUCUUAAUCCGUCCCAAUACUGUGUUGUGUUGAGUAUUAGGGUUUCAGAACAUUUCGCUAUAAGUAGCUUGUACUUUAUAUUUUCGAGAACAAGUUUUUAUUCCGUAGACAGUUUGUGUGUUCUUCGCUUUUGUAAUCCGGAUUUCUCUUAAUCUAUUCAGUAUUCGCUUUUCGUUUAUUUUACUAAGUUGUUCAUCCUGUUAUCAUCUUACUA
rnacentral:sRNA from 1 species